UCGGACGUGGUGUAGUGCAACACGGCCUCUAAUCUUAUCAGCUUACGAACAUUCCAGAGGCAGUACCGGGUUCGACUCCCGGCGUCCGAA